GCGGCAGUGGCGGAAUCGGCAGACGCGCUAGAUUCAGGUUCUAGUAUUCGCAAGGAUGUGGAGGUUCAAGUCCUCUCUGCCGCA
rnacentral:tRNA from 1 species